GAUAAAAAAUAAGUGACACGGGGCAGUCAAGAGAUUGCUCCUCCAAGCAGUGGCGCGGGUGGAGGUUUUUUUGCCGCCGCUUUGGUGUCUUGUCCGACUCCCACCGCGUGCACGUGUGGGAGUUACAGGGGUGGGUGGGCAAUAUGAGGAUCGCACCUCUGAGGUGUUCUUCCAGUCCUCUUCCUCUAGGAGCCCCAAGGUGGGGCUUGGGUGAGUGCCUGUCCUGUGUCCCGGAGGACGGCAGUAGGGAGUCCUGACGAAUAGAUCUCGGAGCCGCACUGCACAAACGCAUAUCAAGCACCGGGCGCUCUAAGUAGGCAGGACCCCCGAGUGGUCUGGAUGUACCAGGGGGGGGGGGGGUGGGGGUGGUUGGCCAGUGAAUCCCGUGGCGGGCCCACAAGAAGUGGGCGGAGAGUGGUCCCUCUUCCCUAACGAGAGGACAAGACCUCCGGGGUACUUGUUGCCGAAGGUCAGCCCGGAGCCUUCGCAAGAGGGUGGGCUUGAAACGGCUUCCGUGCGCAAGUCCCGAUUAAAAAAAAAAAAUAAUAAAAUAGCCAAAUGACUCGUCAUCUAAUUAGUGACGCGCAUGAAUGGAUUAACAAGAUUCCCGCUGUCCCUAUCUACUAUUUAACGAAACCACAGCCAAGGGAACGGGCUUGGAAAAAUCAGCGGGGAAAGAAGACCCUCUUGAGCUUGACUCUAGUCUGACUCUGUGAAGAGACAUGAGAGGUGUAGCAUAAGUGGGAGGCCGUUAACCCUCGUGGUUGUGUCACGCCGACAGUGAAAUACCACUACAUUCAUCGUUUCUUUACAUACUCGGUGAAGCGGAAAGCGGACCAUGAGUGUCCACGCUUCUAGCACUAAGUGCAAGGCCCUUCG
rnacentral:ncRNA from 1 species